rnacentral:lncRNA from 1 species
UUUCCUGCAAAAAGGACAACGAGAGUUGGGUGAGUAACGUAAGGUCACCCAGUGAGCUGGCUACCUCUACCCAAAACCUAGUAGCUAGCCCCGACAACCCCAAAAUAACAAUCAACUUAGCCUAAGCGCAAUAAACAAAGCUUAAGGCUAAUCCGAAAACACACCGACUAAGGUAUGCUCAACCUUAAUCUAAUAUUAAUCCUUGGCCACACGGCCAACUACUAAUAUGGAUCCCUUACAAGUCUAACAAUCAAGACUCGAUUAAAGACAACACCGUAUCUCGGU